rnacentral:rRNA from 1 species
UACGAAGGGAGCUAGCGUUGUUCGGAAUCACUGGGCGUAAAGCGCACGUAGGCGGAUGUGUCAGUCAGGGGUGAAAUCCCGGAGCUCAACUUCGGAACUGCUUUUGAUACAGCACAUCUGGAGUCCGGAAGAGGUGGGUGGAAUUCCUAGUGUAGAGGUGAAAUUCGUAGAUAUUAGGAAGAACACCGGUGGCGAAGGCGGCCCACUGGUCCGGUACUGACGCUGAGGUGCGAAAGCGUGGGGAGCAAACAGG